GGAAUUUUGGACAAUGGGGGAAACCCUGAUCCAGCAAUGCCGCGUGCAGGAUGAAGGCCUUCGGGUUGUAAACUGCUUUUGUACGGAACGAAAAGACUCUUUCUAAUAAAGAGGGUCCAUGACGGUACCGUAAGAAUAAGCACCGGCUAACUACGUGCCAGCAGCCGCGGUAAUACGUAGGGUGCAAGCGUUAAUCGGAAUUACUGGGCGUAAAGCGUGCGCAGGCGGUUAUGUAAGACAGAUGUGAAAUCCCCGGGCUCAACCUGGGAAUUGCAUUAGUGGCUGCAUAGCUAGAGUGCGGCAGAAGGGGAUGGAAUUCCGCGUGUAGCAGUGAAAUGCGUAGAUAUGCGGAGGAACACCGAUGGCGAAGGCAAUCCCCUGGGCCUGCACUGACGCUCAUGCACGAAAGCGUGGGGAGCAAACAGGAUUAGAUACCCGAG
rnacentral:rRNA from 1 species